CCCAUUUUGCCACGCCGUUAGUCUGCGGUCCACGCCUUUCCCGGGGGCCUCACCCAAGGGCGAGUCACCUAGUGGAGGAGAUCGGCUGUGGUCAAAGCUUGGAGAGGAGAUGGACACCACCAGGCGACAAUUGCCCAAGAUACACCCAUGAUGCACGAAAUCAACUAUUCCAUACCGGCUCCCGCAUCAUUGCUUCUGCUGUCUUCUCUCUGAGCCGCCGGAGGUUGUUGCGCACUUCUUGAGCCUGGUGCGCGUUGCCGGGCAGGGACAUUUCCUUCAGGAGGUCCCUGCUCCGGUAAACGAGGGCAUGGGCAGCUGAAUCCUCCCAGACCUCGGGCUGCCGCAGCCAGUAGAGCAUCUCAUCGGUGAGCUCGAGGUACUCUUCAUCAGUGAGGGCGGAAGCCUUUUCCUCACCGGCUUUAGGCUUCUUCUGUGGGAGGUCUGUCAUGAACGAUCGCGGUGCACGGAACUGGGAAGCAGGAGAGGAAGACAAAGGAUCGGGUAACACGGAUUUUAUCGGGAGACGGCGCAGGGACAUGUAACAAACCAAGGAACGCGCAACACCACACCAUCAGACUACUGGACUUCAAUGACAGACCUAGAGAAACAGACUCUAACAUGGACUAAAAUACACAGGACUCGAUGGAAAAACAGGAAACAGUGGACAUAACAAGUUUGAUUCCACACGAGGUUAACGAGGGGGCGUGGCACACAGGAGGAUCGGAUAAGCAGGACAUGACAAUACUUCAACGUUGAAACAAUAACACAAUGCUAUCUGGGUUACAAAGCUUUUCCGCUUGCCACUUUCUUCGUUUGUUGUGUCUUUGCUCGCAGGUCUCGAAGUGAAUGUCUACCAGCCAGGGGCACGUUUUCCUGCUUUUGGGAAAGGCACCCUGAGGAGGGAGUUUAGAGUAAGCCAUUUUAAUGGAGGUAGGGGUUCUGUAGGUAAAAACUGUCUGAGGAAAAAAUAUAUGUAUAUAUAAAAUUUGUGUGCGUGUAUGUGUGUGUUUGUGAUGAGGUAUAGUCAUUGUAUGUGUUUUUUUAAUACAGUGCUAAAUGGUAAAAUACAUGGUGUUACAUAACAUCUUUUUAAUUUACUGCAACAACAUUGAUUGAACCUUUUUAUUGCAAUAAUUUUAUGAUAUUCACGGUAUGUAUUGUUUUUUUAUGCAGACACUGAAAUAAAGCAUGGGCAGAAGCAUCUGCCUUUGCGUUUACACUGCC